rnacentral:rRNA from 1 species
AUUGAACGCUGGCGGCAGGCCUAACACAUGCAAGUCGAACGAGUGGCGGACGGGUGAGUAAUGUCUGGGCCAAUGCCCGAUGGAGGGGGAUAACUACUGGAAACUGUAGCUACUACCGCAUACCAUCGGAUGUGCCCAGAGUGGAUUUGCUAGUAGGUGGGGUAACGGCUCACCUAGGCGACGAUCCCUAGCGGGUCUGAGAGGAUGAACAGCCACACUGGGACUGAGACACGGUCCAGACUCCUACGGGAGGCAGCAGUGGGGAAUAUUGCACAAGGGGCGCAAGCCUGAUGCAGCCAUGCCGCGUGUGUGAAGAAGGCCUUCGGGUUGUAAAGCACUUUCAGCGGGGAGGCGUUACCCGCAGAAGAAGCACCGGCUAACUCCGUGCCAGCAGCCGCGGUAAUAC